rnacentral:SRP_RNA from 2 species
GCUGGGCAUAGUGGCAUAUGCCUGUAGUCCCAGCUACUAAGGAGGCUGAGAUGGGAGGAUUGUUUGAACCCAGGAGGUCGAGGCAACAGUGAGCCAUGAUCACGCCACUGUACUCCAGCCUGGGUGACAGAGCAAGACCUCGUCUCAA